rnacentral:rRNA from 1 species
GGGAUGACGGCCUUCGGGUUGUAAACCGCUUUCAGCAGGGAAGAAGCGCAAGUGACGGUACCUGCAGAAGAAGUACCGGCUAACUACGUGCCAGCAGCCGCGGUAAUACGUAGGGUACGAGCGUUGUCCGGAAUUAUUGGGCGUAAAGAGCUCGUAGGUGGUUGGUCACGUCUGCUGUGGAAACGCAACGCUUAACGUUGCGCGUGCAGUGGGUACGGGCUGACUAGAGUGCAGUAGGGGAGUCUGGAAUUCCUGGUGUAGCGGUGAAAUGCGCAGAUAUCAGGAGGAACACCGGUGGCGAAGGCGGGACUCUGGGCUGUAACUGACACUGAGGAGCGAAAGCAUGGGGAGCGAACAGGAUUAGAUACCCUGGUAGUCCAUGCCGUAAACGUUGGGCACUAUGUGUGGGGGGCAUUCCACGUUCUCCGCGCCGUAGCUAACGCAUU